rnacentral:misc_RNA from 1 species
GUGAAUCAUCAAAUUUUUGAACGCAAAUUGCACUCUCCGGUUUUCCGGGAGAGUAUGCCUGUUUGAGGGUCCGCCUAAAAAAAAUAGAUAUUGUUGCUGUUUUUUAAUGGUGACUUUCGUCGGAAAUUGGGUUAUCUUAAAUCUUUGGUUUAAGCGACUUAAAUUUUUCUUUACGAUUUCAUUAUCGUUUUCAUGAUUUAUUUCUUUAAAAGUUUAUGGUAUAGAUUUUAUUAGGCGUGGUAGUCAUUUUGGAGAAUGAUCAUAAUUUUU